GGACCAUUGAAGAUGAUCAAGAAACAUUAAAUGCGAGCAUGGGAGGUGGAUCGAGAGCACCUAAGGAAGUAGACCAUUCUGAUAGUUUAACGGAAACAGAAUGGCGGAAGGCUAUCGGCGAUACUUGCAAUAAAGGUGAUGACGAUGAAGAAAUCAAAACCACCUAGAAAGCGACGAGGAAACGAAAGAAACGAGGCUCGAUUAUCGAAUGACUAUAACAAUAAUCCUUCGGUAUCCUAUCAAAAAAAAAAAAAAAGUCCAGCAGACAUAGUCCACAAUGAAAAAUUGAAAAAGCAAAUGAGACGUAUUAU